UACAGAGGGUGCAAGCGUUAAUCGGAAUUAUUGGGCGUAAAGCGCAUGUAGGCGGGAGGUUAAGUCGCGUGUGAAAGCCCCAGGCUCAACCUGGGAAGUGCGCGCGAAACUGGCUUUCUUGAGUGCUGGAGAGGGUGGCGGAAUUCCCGGUGUAGAGGUGAAAAUUCGUAGAUAUCGAGAGGAACACCGGUGGCGAAGGCGGCCAACUGGACAGAUACUGACGCUGA
rnacentral:rRNA from 1 species